rnacentral:lncRNA from 1 species
UUAUCUGGUUUAUUUUUCCUAUCCGUAAAUCUCUUGAGAAAAAUUGGGGUUUUAUCAAUUUGGACUCUCUUUUUGAUGAAAAAGGUAUAUUUAUGAUCCUUAUGUUGUGGGUAAACUGAUUUUAACAUAAAAUUAUUGAUUCAUUGAUUAUUUUUAUCAUAUUAACCGCGUACAAUUUGGACUUUCCCGGUAAAGUUAAAGUUUGAUAAAUUGAGAAUUUCAAGGUCGAUCUUAACUCCGUUUUUGAUGAAAUUUCAUAUUUGAACUUAUCUAAGC